UACGUAGGGUGCGAGCGUUAAUCGGAAUUACUGGGCGUAAAGCGUGCGCAGGCGGCGCGUUAAGACAGGUGUGAAAGCCCCGAGCUUAACUUGGGAAUUGCGCUUGUGACUGGCGGGCUGGAGUGUGGCAGAGGGAGGUGGAAUUCCACGUGUAGCAGUGAAAUGCGUAGAUAUCUGGAGGAACACCGGUGGCGAAGGCGGCAUCCUGGACCGGUAUUGACGCUGAGGCGCGAAAGCCAGGGGAGCAAACGGG
rnacentral:rRNA from 1 species